rnacentral:rRNA from 1 species
UACGUAGGGGGCGAGCGUUGUCCGGAAUCAUUGGGCGUAAAGCGCGUGUAGGCGGCCCGGUAAGUCCGCUGUGAAAGUCCAGGGCUCAACCCUGGGAUGCCGGUGGAUACUGUCGGGCUAGAGUCCGGAAGAGGAGUGUGGAAUUCCUGGUGUAGCGGUGAAAUGCGCAGAUAUCAGGAGGAACACCAAUGGCGAAGGCAGCACUCUGGGACGUGACUGACGCUGAGGCGCGAAAGCUAGGGAGCAAACGGG